GCCCCCAUUCCUGGAUUUAAACAGCCAUCUUCUUAUGGCUGUAUCCUACUACUGCAACUUUGCCAUCUUCUGCUAGCCAUGUGACUCCUGGAAUGUCCUUAGUCCUCUCCUCACCUCUCCCACCACUGUUGUGCUCAUUCCUGUCUCUAGGCUAGCUCCUAAAUAUAGCUACCAUACUGAAACUGGACCAAGUAGAAAGCAUCAUUUCUGUUUCAUGUAACAAAUAUGCUAGGUUCUGAAAAGAAACAUCGGACAUUUAUUUGAAGCCAAGACAAAGAGAUUUUCAGAUACCUAUAAAUGAAGUCAGUAAGCUGAAAGUAUCAGUAAGCUGAAACUUAGCAGCAGGCUUCAAAGAGACUCUCCAAAAACAACAACACCGCAGAGGCUUUUGAAGUCCCUAAAAUCUUAUAGGAUGCUGUUUUUAUUGACUUUCAUAUUACAUGAGAGUGGAGGCUGGGAAUGGAACUGUUGCAAAAUACAGAAUUGAAGAAGUCUUCCCAGAUUUUUCUUUUCUAAUUUCUGCAAGAGAGAUCAUGGGAAGAAAAAGUUACAAGGAAUAAGAGAGAAAAAAAAUGCAAGUCUCUUCAUGUGUUUUGUAUACUGAGGCUUAA